rnacentral:rRNA from 1 species
AUGGGGAAGAAGCCGGAGAAGGAGAAUCCGAGGAAGAAGAAGCUGGAGAAGGUGCAGAGCGCGGCGCAGCAGCAGAAGGGGAAGCUCUACAUCAUCGUGGCCUGCAUCACCCUGCUCGUCUGCGGCUACUGCAGCAAACAACAAAAGCGUACGUGUGCAUAUCAAUAA